GAUCUCUGCUCCAGCCAGGAUCUCUGCUCCAGCCAGGAUCUCUGCUCCAGCCAGGAUCUCUGCUCCAGCCAGGAUCUCUGCUCCAGCCAGGAUCUCUGCUCCAGCCAGGAUCUACCAGGGAACGUUUACAGGAGUGGGAUAAACUAUUUAAAAUAAAAAAGGGGAUUUAUUGGAUUGGAGGGAUGUGAGCGCAGAGGGAUGUUCUGUACAGACCAGAUAGGACAGUUUAACAUGGCUGUGAUGGACUCAAAGUGGAGAAAGGGAUAAGUCUGGGACGCACAGGAUCAUUGAACACACACACACUGUACACACACACACACACACUGUACACACAGAACUGUACACACACACACUCACACUGUACACACACACACACACACACUGUACACACACACACAAAAGGGAACUCCACCAGACGACCAGACAGUGACAUCUCCGUGUCUCUCUGUGUGAGAAUGGGGUGACGUCAUACCCUCUCCUCUCCUCCAUCUCCGUGUCUCUCAGUGUGAGAAUGGGGUGACGUCAUACCCUCUCCUCUCCUCCAUCUCCAUGUCUUAGCAAAGAACUAAAGAAGAAAAAUGCCUCUGUAGAAUAACGCGCCAGAGCUGCACGCUUUGCCCGCUCGUUGUCAUGCCGAUUCAUCUCUCUCUUUUUGUUGUUGAUAUUACUACUACUAUUAUUUUAUUUUUGUAAACAUUAUUUUGGGAAUCUGAGGACAACUGAGAAUGAAUUAUUGUGUGGAGGGAGGACACGUGUCUGAGGCUUUACAGUACAGGACCAGGACAACUACACUACCCAGGAAACACUGGGGUUUUGGAAGGUCAAUCCUGAUGAUUCUACCCAGAGGUCACCUGAUCAGACCCUGCAGAGGUCAGGGUCAGGACAGACUGAGACUACAGAGACUCUAUUCCACUUUACAUCCACUAGCUGAUGCUGAUUGGUUAAGCUUACCAACCAUUCUGUUUGCCAUUCCAUUCUGUGGUCAGUUUAAUAUUAGUGGUUAGAUGGGAGAGGAGGGCCGUUAUAUACAUCCAUUGUGCCAUGGUUUUACCUCCCAGCAUCAUGACUUACUUCAACUUCUUGAUGCUAUGUACCUCCGUUUACACUGUCCGUUACAGUAAUACACACACACACACACACACACACACACACACACACACACACACACGGUCGUUGUGUCUCUGAAUCAACUCAACACAAACUGACUCUGUGUGUGAAACUGAGGACGUUCCACAACGGUGAGGGAGGGAACGAUGGCCUCAUGUUAUAUUGGAGAUUUAAGACCAGGUUAACAACUGAUACAGGGUCAGAUAUUUUGACUUUCUCCUAAUGGGCAAGGUUAGGAUGUGGGUAGAGCAAGCUGAUCCUAGAUCUGAGAAUAUGAGUCCCCUAAUGGUUAAGGUUAGGAUGUGGGUAAUGCAAGCUGAUCCCAGAUCUGUGAAUAUGAGCAACGUCUACCCUGACCACUACUACGACUGAGCCCUUUACCCAGCAUGCUUUGUGGUCCUCAUUCAAGAUGACGGCUCGGUCAAAGGGCCAAGUUUUGCAGUCCUUGUAAUAAUCUCAUUUCUAUUCUAAACUUCACCUGGUGAACCAGCUCUCCUUACUGCUGUGUGUGUGUGUGUGUGUGUGUGUGUGUGUGUGUGUGUGUGUGUGUGUGUGUGUGUGUGUGUGUGUGUGUGUGUGUGUGUGUGUGUGUGUGUGUGUGUGUGUGUGUGUGUGUGUGUGUGUGUGUGUGUGUGUGUGGUAGGGGGUCCUCAGCUUGCUUCCUUCUGAGGAUUUGAUUCAUAAUGACGUCCAGGUUGAGCUGACUGUAACAGUUGAUUCAUAAUGACAUCCAGGUUGAGCUGACUGUAACAGUUGAUUCAUAAUGACGUCCAGGUUGAGCUGACUGUAACAGUUGAUUCAUAAUGACAUCCAGGUUGAGCUGACUGUAACAGUUGAUUCAUAAUGACAUCCAGGUUGAGCUGACUGUAACAGUUGAUUCAUAAUGACAUCCAGGUUGAGCUGACUGUAACAGUUGAUUCAUAAUGACAUCCAGGUUGAGCUGACUGUAACAGUUGAUUCAUAAUGACAUCCAGGUUGAGCUGACUGUAACAGUUGAUUCAUAAUGACGUCCAGGUUGAGCUGACUGUAACAGUUGAUUCAUAAUGACAUCCAGGUUGAGCUGACUGUAACAGUUGAUUCAUAAUGACAUCCAGGUUGAGCUGACUGUAACAGUUGAUUCAUAAUGACAUCCAGGUUGAGCUGACUGUAACAGUUGAUUCAUAAUGACAUCCAGGUUGAGCUGACUGUAACAGUUGAUUCAUAAUGACGUCCAGGUUGAGCUGACUGUAACAGUUGAUUCAUAAUGACGUCCAGGUUGAGCUGACUGUAACAGUUGAUUCAUAAUGACAUCCAGGUUGAGCUGACUGUAACAGUUGAUUCAUAAUGACGUCCAGGUUGAGCUGACUGUAACAGUUGAUUCAUAAUGACAUCCAGGUUGAGCUGACUGUAACAGUUGAUUCAUAAUGACGUCCAGGUUGAGCUGACUGUAACAGUUGAUUCAUAAUGACAUCCAGGUUGAGCUGACUGUAACAGUUGAUUCAUAAUGACAUCCAGGUUGAGCUGACUGUAACAGUUUGCAGCGUAGCUUACACCUCCUUACGCCACACAGGGUAAUUUUCUCAUGCUAUAUUUAGGUACGGCUUGGGUACACACACACACACACACACACACACACAAACACUGCAUCCCACCGCCAGACCCCCAGGCAGACAGCUG